rnacentral:rRNA from 1 species
CGCGUGAGUGAGGAAGGCUUCGGGUCGUAAAGCUCUGUCAGUGGGGAAGAAGUGUUAUGAGGUUAAUACCCUUGUAAUUUGACGGUACCUGCAAAGGAAGCACCGGCUAACUCCGUGCCAGCAGCCGCGGUAAUACGGAGGGUGCAAGCGUUGUUCGGAAUCACUGGGCGUAAAGGGCGCGCAGGCGGUUUUACAAGUCAGAUGUGAAAGCCCACGGCUUAACCGUGGAAGUGCAUUUGAAACUGUAAGACUUGAGUAUCAGAGGGGAAAGUGGAAUUCCCGGUGUAGAGGUGAAAUUCGUAGAUAUCGGGAGGAAUACCGGUGGCGAAGGCGACUUUCUGGCUGAAUACUGACGCUGAGGCGCGAAAGCGUGGGUAGCAAACAGGAUUAGAUACCCUGGUAGUCCACGCCGUAAACGAUGUGCACUAGAUGUAGGAGGUAUUGAUCC